rnacentral:rRNA from 1 species
AGUGAACGCUGGCGGUAGGCCUAACACAUGCAAGUCGAACGGCAGCACAGUAAGAGCUUGCUCUUACGGGUGGCGAGUGGCGGACGGGUGAGGAAUACAUCGGAAUCUACUUUUUCGUGGGGAUAACGUAGGGAAACUUACGCUAAUACCGCAUACGACCUACGGGUGAAAGCAGGGGAUCUUCGGACCUUGCGCGAUUGAAUGAGCCGAUGUCGGAUUAGCUAGUUGGCGGGGUAAAGGCCCACCAAGGCGACGAUCCGUAGCUGGUCUGAGAGGAUGAUCAGCCACACUGGAACUGAGACACGGUCCAGACUCCUACGGGAGGCAGCAGUGGGGAAUAUUGGACAAUGGGCGCAAGCCUGAUCCAGCCAUACCGCGUGGGUGAAGAAGGCCUUCGGGUCGUAAAGCCCUUUUGUUGGGAAAGAAAAGCAGCAGGUUAAUACCCCGCUGUUCUGACGGUACCCAAAGAAUAAGCACCGGCUAACUUCGUG